rnacentral:rRNA from 1 species
GAUGAACGCUGGCGGCGUGCCUAAUACAUGCAAGUCGAGCGAACAGAUGAGGAGCUUGCUCCUCUGACGUUAGCGGCGGACGGGUGAGUAACACGUGGAUAACCUACCUAUAAGACUGGGAUAACUUCGGGAAACCGGAGCUAAUACCGGAUAAUAUAUUGAACCGCAUGGUUCAAUAGUGAAAGACGGUUUUGCUGUCACUUAUAGAUGGAUCCGCGCCGCAUUAGCUAGUUGGUAAGGUAACGGCUUACCAAGGCAACGAUGCGUAACCGACCUGAGAGGGUGAUCGGCCACACUGGAACUGAGACACGGUCCAGACUCCUACGGGAGGCAGCAGUAGGGAAUCUUCCGCAAUGGGCGAAAGCUUGACGGAGCAACGCCGCGUGAGUGAUGAAGGUCUUCGGAUCGUAAAACUCUGUUAUUAGGGAAGAACAAAUGUGUAAGUAACUAUGCACGUCUUGACGGUACCUAAUCAGAAAGCCACGGCUAACUACGUG